CUUCGAGUCGUUGAUUUCACACUGCCGAGAAAAGCCUCUAGAUAGAAAAUAGGUGCCCGUACCGCAAACCGACACAGGUAGUCAAGAUGAGAAUUCUAAGGUGAGCGAGCGAACUCUCGUUAAGGAACUCGGCAAAAUGACCCCGUAACUUCGGGAGAAGGGGUGCUCUUUAGGGUUAACGCCCAGAAGAGCCGCAGUGAAUAGGCCCAAGCGACUGUUUAUCAAAAACACAGGUCUCUGCUAAACCGUAAGGUGAUGUAUAGGGGCUGACGCCUGCCCGGUGCUGGAAGGUUAAGAGGAGUGGUUAGCUUCUGCGAAGCUACGAAUCGAAGCCCCAGUAAACGGCGGCCGUAACUAUAACGGUCCUAAGGUAGCGAAAUUCCUUGUCGGGUAAGUUCCGACCCGCACGAAAGGCGUAACGAUUUGGGCACUGUCUCAACGAGAGACUCGGUGAAAUCAUAGUACCUGUGAAGAUGCAGGUUACCCGCGACAGGACGGAAAGACCCCGUGGAGCUUUACUGUAGCCUGAUAUUGAAAUUCGGCACAGCUUGUACAGGAUAGGUAGGAGCCUUUGAAACGUGAGCGCUAGCUUACGUGGAGGCGCUGGUGGGAUACUACCCUAGCUGUGUUGGCUUUCUAACCCGCACCACUUAUCGUGGUGGGAGACAGUGUCAGGCGGGCAGUUUGACUGGGGCGGUCGCCUCCUAAAAGGUAACGGAGGCGCUCAAAGGUUCCCUCAGAAUGGUUGGAAAUCAUUCAUAGAGUGUAAAGGCAUAAGGGAGCUUGACUGCGAGACCUACAAGUCGAGCAGGGUCGAAAGACGGACUUAGUGAUCCGGUGGUUCCGCAUGGAAGGGCCAUCGCUCAACGGAUAAAAGCUACCCCGGGGAUAACAGGCUUAUCUCCCCCAAGAGUUCACAUCGACGGGGAGGUUUGGCACCUCGAUGUCGGCUCAUCGCAUCCUGGGGCUGUAGUCGGUCCCAAGGGUUGGGCUGUUCGCCCAUUAAAGCGGUACGCGAGCUGGGUUCAGAACGUCGUGAGACAGUUCGGUCCCUAUCCGUCGUGGGCGUAGGAAAUUUGAGAGGAGCUGUCCUUAGUACGAGAGGACCGGGAUGGACAUACCUCUGGUGUACCAGUUGUCGUGCCAACGGCAUAGCUGGGUAGCUAUGUGUGGACGGGAUAAGUGCUGAAAGCAUCUAAGCAUGAAGCCCCCCUCAAGAUGAGAUUUCCCAACUUCGGUUAUAAGAUCCCUCAAAGAUGAUGAGGUUAAUAGGUUCGAGGUGGAAGCAUGGUGACAUGUGGAGCUGACGAAUACUAAUCGAUCGAAGACUUAAUCAAAUU
rnacentral:rRNA from 1 species